rnacentral:lncRNA from 1 species
AAAUAAAUGUAACAAAAAGAUUAAAAAACAAACAAACAAACAAACCAAAGCUAGGGUAUAUUGAUAAACCACAAAGCAAAGACCCUAAGUAAAAUCAAAUCUACCAAUAUGAGAGAGAGAGAGAGAGAGAGAGAGAGAGACAGAGAGAGAGAGAGAGAGACAGAGAGAGAGAACUACCAAUACAAUGGAAAUGGACUUGUGAGAAAUGCAAAGACCGUUCAGAACCCGAUGAUGCUCUUCAAGCUCACGGUAGAAGGCAGGGCAUCAUCUUACGAUUACUUUAGAAUGUGCAGUUGGAAUUAAACAAGUGUGAGCACCAACUCAGGACAGGUGGUCAUAGGGAUGCAUUUCAUUGCUUUCCAUCUGACAGCAUGGUAGAGCUACAGUCCGGCACAGGGAGCCCAAUUUCCUCGGGGUUCCUCCAACACCUGGCUUUCCUUUGCUGUUUUGUUGCACAAGAAAAUUUGAGGUAUAUUACUUUGUAUUCUGCCAUGUUGGUUUCCUUCAGGGAGCUGGCGUGUUCAGGUUGGUGUGACGCGAGUGCCAACGAGGCCAGCAGAUGGAAGACCACACCAUUGGCUACUAUGUACAACAUGUUGUUAGAUGGUAUAAGCAGGUCCCGGAACAGUACCCAUCCGCCGCUCAGUACCAGCGCCCACGCGGCCAUGGCGCACAGGAUGCCAAUGGGAUCCAAUAUGAACCAGCAGCGUUGGUUGGGGGCCUGCAGCGGGGUCUCUAGCCCGGCGCUGUGCUCAGAUGUGCCGUGGUUUUGGACCCACGAGGACAUUUUGAGAGUCCUCAGACCUGCUCAAGAGCUAGCAUCAUGAUGGUAGACCCAGGGCCCCGGAGGAACCCCCUAGAGAGGAGAGGAUCCUCCAGAGAGAGGAAGAUCCCUUGGCCUUCCUCUCCUGCUCAGCUUGUCUGGAAUUGCCUCCUGUCUCCCGGAGCCAGGGAGGGGCGGGGAGAGCUCCCUGACAAGCUGAUCCUUGCAGCAUUCUAGAAUGUUCCCUCAGACAGGUUUAUGAACACAGAAAGGGCUUAGUGUCCCUCAAGGCCUGCGGGGGAAGGCUGGGAGGAGACACCUAUAGGUGGUGGCCCUUUGGUUUUGCUUUCUCCACUCUGAACGAACCUGUUGGAACCUCUUUGCUUUGAGGAAACUGAGGCAAGAGGAAGUUAAGUAAAUUACCAGAAGAGACCAGGUGAGGGCUUCACACCUGUUGUGUGGUCCAGAGCCUGGGCUUCUGCCCCUUCUUGUUCUGGGCUGAAGGUCUAUCCAGGGGAGGACUCAGGAUGUUAGUUGAGAGAACAUGAGUCUUUCCUCAGAAGAGGUGGUGGUGAUGCAUGUGACCAGCACCAUGGUCUGCCAAGACAGCUCUAGAGCCUCCUUGCAAAGCUCCCACAGGGAGCCCUCCCUCUAGAGCCCAGCAGGCAGAUCCUUCAAUGCUUACUGUGGAGCAGAGAAGAGACACAGCAGAGCGCAGCUUGAAGGUCGUCCGAGUAGUCAGGUCCCUGUUGGAUGCUUCUGUUACUUCCUAUGGGAUGUGAUCAGGUACAGAGCUGUGGCCAACUGAAGGACUCUCGGGGUGUGUGGUCCCUCUCAGUUGUGUACCGAGGGUGGUGAUAUAGGAUGGAACAUCAGCAGGCCUGACCUCCAGGCCCAUUUGUACCCCAUUUGUCUUGGACUUGGCAUCUCUUGAAGCAGGUGCUCCACAACUCAGCCUGGCCCCACACAUCUUCUCCCACAGCAGAGCUUCACGUGGGAUGCACUGGAGCCACCACAGGUGUCUGAGGCCAUGGGGACAACUCUCGUAUCCUGGGGUGGGCAAGGCCAGCUGCUCAGACGGGGUAAUGGUGAUCCUGAGUUUGUAGUGGUCUCUGUGUGGCUUGGAGACUCAGGCCUGCCUGGACAGCUUGCCCCACUGUCUAUGGUUCUGGCCUGACCCCUGAGCAGCUCUGUCAACUCUCAGAACCCUCUCCUAUCAUGUUUUCUAUGUCUGAGAUAGGGUGUUUCAUUCCAUAUCCCAAGAAAGGACCCAGAGCCAUGGUGUGGGUUAGUGGCUCUGAUGGGGGCCCUGCUGGGUAGCCACAAACUGGAGCCCCUCUCUGCAUAGACAAGAUAGAGUGGGAAACAUAAGGAUGCAUUGUGGUUUCUCACCAAACAUGGAGAAACGUGUAAAAACACAGCUCACCUUUCUGACAUGUCCAAAAGUCAUCUCAUUCAUUCAGGAAUAAGGAGAGGCGUAGCCUGUCCAUCAGCAGGUAGAAAUUUGGCGAUAGGGAAGUAACUGUGCAGGAUCUCAAGAAGUCUCACGGAAAUCCUGAAACUGGAACCUGCAAGCAAUCAGCCAUGUGCCUGUUAACCAAGACACUGAACUGUUCUUGGGGGGGGGUGGACAAGCCCUCCAUGGGGUCAUAGGACACGCCCACUCUGUUCACACACCUGUGGGUAACUGUCAUGUUGACAACUCUUUAGCUAGGGCAACUCCUCACCCACUUAGAAAAAGGAUACGUACAUAUGUCGAUAGAUGCCCAGAGCUCCGGAUUUGGAAACACCAGCCAGGCGCAUAAUUGCACUUGGAGACAUCCAGGGUGAUAAGCUUGCCUCUAUCUUCACAUAUCAAAGACAGACAUGGAUUCCCCCAGCAUGUUGCUAUAAAAUAUGCACUUAAUUAUGCUGUGGGAGGAUUUCUUUUACAGGCAUCUUGCGAUUUGUUAUUUACGCUUCGCUGUCAUAUGUACAGGGGUGGCAGUGGGCCUGCCCCCUGGGGGACCUGGAGAUAUUCAUGGAACCAACUUCUUUGUCAGUUUUAUUUGUUAACAUGUCACCCAUCAGCACGUUGCCAGCAGAACACAAGGACAGGCCACACUGCUUUCCGUGUCGCCCACUGCCUUGAUUCCAGGAGUCUAUGACCCACUCGGUCAGAUUUACUUACAUAGGAAUCAUGUGUAUAUGGAUGUUUUGUCUGCAUGUACAUCUUCACAGCAAAAGAGGAUACCAGGUCCUGAGACUACAGGUAUGGAUGGUCUCGAGCCACCAGGUGGGUACUGGAAAAGCAUCCAGUGCUCUUAAUGGCUGAGCCACCUCUCCAACCCCUUAACUUUAUUUCUUAUUUGCCUCUGCCCUGGUGUACAGAUGCUGUCAUGUGGCCGCUGGGCUCACAGACCCCAGAGCACAGUGUGUGUGCACGUGAACCACAUGCACUGCGGCUGGGAACCCUGUGUAUCGAGACAACGGAGAUAGGUGGCUACUUUCAAGGGCUUGCUUUCUGCGCUCUCACACUCUGAUUACGGUGUACACACCAGUUCCCAUCCAUGUACAUUGUAUGACUUUACUUUUAGUUUUUAGACAUGGCGCUGUGUCACCAAGGCUGUGGUCAAUUUGCCAAAACAACCAAGGAUGACUUGAAUUUCUGAUCUUUCUCGCCUCUACCUUGCAGGAGCUGGGAUUACCUGGUUUGUACAGUGCUAGGUCAGGCUGAUGGCUUGCUAGAUGAGCCUCCUAGAUGAAUGCUCUACCAGGUUGAUUUACCUUUACCCAGGACUUGUGUAACUUUUGUUGUAUUUACUCUCCCAUGCAAUUUUGCUUAAUAUCCUAGAAGUUACUUGCUCUAAACUUUAAAUUUUCUGUUAUUGGGAUGCAAGAAGAGAAAUCUGCUUGGUCAGAACUGACUUUCAAAAGACUGCAGUAAUGAAACAUACUAAUUUUUAAGUACUGUAUGUGCUUUGAAUUUAGGUCCUUGUAUAAUCUGUAAAUGACUAGCUUUCCCCUCCCAUUGCAAUCCUUAUGUUUGUAAUUUUCCCUCUAAAUUUACAGACGGAACACAGAACUUAUGAAAGAAGAGUCUUUGUCUUGUUUCAGAUUUUAAAGAAGAGCUCAACAAAUAAUACAUUCAGCACGGAAAGGAACCUGCACACACUUCGCCCAUUUCCCCAGUGCUGGGGUACAGGGCACUCAGCCUGUCAGUGACACCCACGUGAUGGAGCCAGGCUGCAUCACCCAGGCUUGGUCUCCUUCACACCUCACCAGGUCUGACUCAUUGAGGUCUUGAUGUAGCUCAGCCUGACUGUGAAGUCCCAUCAGUCCACAGUCAGACAGUGGCAUCAAACACACCCACACCUUGGUCCCCUCCAUCUAUCCCUAGAGGGACACCUUCAAGUCCUCUUUCCUUCUUUUUAGCCAGCAGCCACUGCUCUUUGUAGAGUUGGGUUAAGAUGGUCUGUCUGUCUGUCUGUCUAUGCCUAUCUAUCUGCCAUUCAUUUAUUGUGCUUGAGACAUAUCUGUGGUUAUGUGCAUUCACACAGCUGUGAACAUCUGUUUCAUGCAGAUGCCAGAGGAGGGCAUCAGUUUGUCCUGUUCUAUCCGUGGAGACUAAAGUCUAAAUAAGGAGUCCACCUUAUUCUCUUGAUACGGAGUCUCUCACUGGACCUGGAGCUAGGCGUCCUCCAUCAAGUCACAGACAUUCUCCUGCCUCUGCUCCUCACAACACUGGUGUUCCAGGCAGCAUGGGCACACCUGGC